rnacentral:rRNA from 1 species
GACAGAGGGUGCAAACGUUGUUCGGAAUUACUGGGCGUAAAGCGCAUGUAGGCGGCCAAGCAGGUCGGAUGUGAAAUCCCUCGGCUCAACCAAGGAAGUGCAUUCGAAACCGCAUGGCUGGAGUCCCGGAGAGGGUAGUGGAAUUCCGCGUGUAGCAGUGAAAUGCGUAGAUAUGCGGAGGAACACCGAUGGCGAAGGCAAUCCCCUGGGCCUGCACUGACGCUCAUGCACGAAAGCGUGGGGAGCAAACAGG